UCACAUCUUACGAUGGCAGUGUCCCCGGAGUGCCCAGCAUUAACUGAUGGCAAACGGGGAGAAGGGUUGCGCUCGUUAUGGCACUUAAGCCGACACCUCACGGCACGAGCUGACGACAACCAUGCAGCACCUACAUGCAGGUCCGAAGAAACAGGCGUCUCUGCCUGAGUCCUGCACAUUUCAAGCCCGGGUAAGGUUCCUCGCGUAUCAUCGAAUUAAACCACAUGUUCCUCCGCUUGUGCGGGCCCCCGUCAAUUCCUUUGAGUUUCACCGUUGCCGGCGUACUCCCCAGGUGGAAUACUUAACGCUUUCGCUAAGUGUCCCACAAUAUAUCGCGGGACACGAGUAUUCAUCGUUUACGGUGCGGACUAC
rnacentral:misc_RNA from 1 species